CCAGACUCCUACGGGAGGCAGCAGUGGGGAAUAUUGGGCAAUGGGCGCAAGCCUGACCCAGCAAUGCCGCGUGAAGGAAGAAGGCUUUCGGGUUGUAAACUUCUUUGACAGGGGAAGAGCAGAAGACGGUACCCUGAAAACAAGCCACGGCUAACUACGUGCCAGCAGCCGCGGUAAUACGUAGGUGGCAAGCGUUGUCCGGAUUUAUUGGGUUUAAAGGGUGCGUAGGCGGAAGGCCAAGUCAGCGGUAAACUCGGGGGGCUCAACCUCGACCCGCCGUUGAAACUGGCGUUCUUGAGUGGGCGAGAAGUAUGCGGAAUGCGUGGUGUAGCGGUGAAAUGCAUAGAUAUCGCGCAGAACUCCGAUUGCGAAGGCAGCAUACCGGCGCCCAACUGACGCUGAAGCACGAAAGCGUGGGUAUCGAACAGGAUUAGAUACCCCCGUACU
rnacentral:rRNA from 1 species